CCUACGGGUGGCAGCAGUGGGGAAUAUUGGACAAUGGGCGAAAGCCUGAUCCAGCCAUGCCGCGUGUGUGAAGAAGGCCUUCGGGUUGUAAAGCACUUUCAGUGGGGAAGAAAGCCUUGGGGCUAAUACCCUCGAGGAAGGACAUCACCCACAGAAGAAGCACCGGCUAACUCCGUGCCAGCAGCCGCGGUAAUACGGAGGGUGCGAGCGUUAAUCGGAAUUACUGGGCGUAAAGCGCGCGUAGGCGGUCUGAUAAGCCGGUUGUGAAAGCCCCGGGCUCAACCUGGGAACGGCAUCCGGAACUGUCAGGCUAGAGUGCAGGAGAGGAAGGUAGAAUUCCCGGUGUAGCGGUGAAAUGCGUAGAGAUCGGGAGGAAUACCAGUGGCGAAGGCGGCCUUCUGGACUGACACUGACGCUGAGGUGCGAAAGCGUGGGUAGCAAACAGGAUUAGAUACCCCUGUAGUC
rnacentral:rRNA from 1 species